rnacentral:rRNA from 1 species
GACGAACGCUGGCGGCGUGCUUAACACAUGCAAGUCGAGCGGUAAGGCCCUUUCGGGGUACGACGAGCGGCGAACGGGUGAGUAACACGUGGGUGACCUGCCCUUAGCUCUGGGAUAAGCCUGGGAAACUGGGUCGUAAUACCGGAUAUGACUCCAUGACGCAUGUUGUGGGGUGGAAAGCCUUGUGCGGCUAGGGAUGGGCCCGCGGCCUAUCAGCUUGUUGGUGGGGUGAUGGCCUACCAAGGCGACGACGGGUAGCCGGCCUGAGAGGGCGACCGGCCACACUGGGACGUGAGACACGGCCCAGACUCCUACGGGAGGCAGGCAGUGGGGAAUCUUGCGCAAUGGGCGAAAGCCUGACGCAGCGACGCCGCGUGAGGGAUGACGGCCUCGGUUGUAACUCUUC